AAGUUUCUCCAAGACAUACAACUUUCUAUCAUGUUUGAGGACAAUCCUCAAAUUUCGGUGACAAUCCAGAAAAUUUGUCCCAGACAAUUUUUCCUUAUCAAAGAUUGAUCGUAAGAUGUUGUUAGAGGUGUUUGUUGUCAUAGUAAUCUACAUGAAAAAUAAUGAAAAUAUAAGUAUCAAUAACAUAUUUAAUUAGGCCUUUAAUUAAAU
rnacentral:lncRNA from 1 species